UGGGGGAUCGUCUAGUGGUAGGACAGUGGACUCUGACUCCACGAACCUAGGUUCGAAUCCUAGUCCCCCAGCCA
rnacentral:tRNA from 2 species